GUGUCUUCUUUCAGACUAACCGUUAACCUGUUACUGAAUUAGUUGACUUAUAUUUCACAAACUCAGUCAGAACUAAUUCAAUUCCUCGUUUCCGCCCUAAACUACAUGCGUUUGAAAUUAUUCUGGUUUGUGUCUCCUCCCCUCUUAUAGUUGAUCCUCUAACACGAGUUCAGCUCAUCAGCAGCGACAGAGAGGAAGAUAAAGACAUGAUCAGCAUCAUCACUCUGCUGCUGCUGCUCUGCUUCUCAUAUCUUUCACUGAGCAAGGAUGUGCAUCAGGAUCCACCAUCGUUGUUAUCGAGUCCUCAGAGACCCGCAACAAUCGGCUGCAGCCAUUCAAUCAGUGGAUACUAUGUGAUUCUGUGGUACCAGAAGCCGAUUGGUGGCUCCGCUCUUAAAUUAAUUGGUUAUAUAUCAAACACAAGCCCAACACUGGAGAAGGAAUUCGAAGAUCGCUUCGGAAUAAAAGGAGACGGAUCAAAGAAAUCUGAGCUCCAAGUGCAGAAACCGCAGCCAGAAGACAGCAGCAUGUAUUACUGUGCAGCUAGUCAACACAGUGACUCGCUUUGUGUCGCCCUGCUACAAAAACCCUCUGUGAUAAUCCAGCACACAAACACACUGGAGAGGAACACAGCUGCAGCAGAGAGCAGUAAACUACAGCAGGAAAUCAUCAGAUAUCAGCAUUAAAACUGUCUCUGCCAGUGGCGACCCCAAGAGGAGGUCA